rnacentral:rRNA from 1 species
CCCGCCGGACCUGACUGCUAUCGGAUUGAUACUAAGCCAUGCGAGUCAUUGUAGUAAUACAAGGCAGACGGCUCAGUAACGCGUAGUCAACCUACCCUGUGGACGGGGAUAACCUCGGGAAACUGAGAAUAAUACCCGAUAGAACAUUAUGCCUGGAAUGGUUUAUGUUUCAAAUAAUUUAUUGCCGUAGGAUGGGACUGCGUCCUAUCAGUUUGUUGGUGUGGUAAUGGCCCACCAAGACUAUUACAGGUACGGGCUCUGAGAGGAGUAGCCCGGAGAUGGGUACUGAGACACGGACCCAGGCCCUAUGGGGCGCAGCAGGCGAGAAAACUUUGCAAUGUGCGAAAGCACGACAAGGUUAAUCCGAGUGGUUUCUGCUAAAGGAACCUUUUGUCAGUCCUAGAAACACUGAUGAAUAAGGGGUGGGCAAGUUUCUGGGUGUCAGCCGCCCGCGGUAAAACCCAGCACCUCAAAGUGGUCAGGGAUGAUUAUUGGGCCUAAAGCAUCCGUAGCCUGCUUUGUAAGUUUUCGGUUAAAUCCAUACGCUCAACGUAUGGGCUGCCGGGAAUACUGCAAAGCUGGGGAGUGGGAGAGGUAGACGGUACUCGGUAGGAAGGGGUAAAAUCCUUUGAUCUAUUGAUGACCACCUGUGGCGAAGGCGGUCUACCAGAACACGUCCGACGGUGAGGGAUGAAAGCUGGGGGAGCAAACCGGAUUAGAUACCCGGGUAGUCCCAGCUGUAAACUAUGCAAACUCAGUGAUGCAUUGGCUUGAUGCCAAUGCAGUGCUGCAGGGAAGCCGUUAAGUUCGCCGCCUGGGAAGUACGUACGCAAGUAUGAAACUUAAAGGAAUUGGCGGGGGAGCACCACAAGGGGUGAAGCCUGCGGUUCAAUUGGAGUCAACGCCGGG